GCUAUGUUGGACAUUCCUACUCCUGAGCGUUUUGCCUUGGUUGCCAUUCCUCAGGUUGGGCUUGUUCCACAGAGUGGUAAAGCACAGUCUGGUGCUAGCAGUGGGCCUAUUAAUCAAGAGUCACUCCGAUGUGAUCAUUGUCACAACACCGGCCAUACCAGGGAUUUCUGUUGGAAGCUACAUGGCCGUCCCUCUCGUGAGCGAAGGGGUGGACACGGUAGUCGAGGUCGUGGCCCCAUGCGUUCUCAGGCCUAGGCCCAUGUUUCGGAGUCUACAUGGGUUGCUAGCUUGCCUGAUUCUGGGUUCAGUACUGGGGUUCAGGCGUCUUCUGAUCAUGUUAGUGGUUUUUCUCAGGAGGAAAUGCAAGCUCUCCGGCACCUAAUGGCUCGGGCUGAUUCUCCAUCUACUAUAGCUCCUACUUCUAUAGCAAGUCCCACUUCAUCCUAUUUUGCUCACACAGGAUAAGGUCAGGAUAGCAGAUGGAUCAUUCUCUACUAUUUCAGGGAAAGGUUUCGUUCGCUAUUCUCCCUCUAUUUCCCUCUCUUUAGUUCUACAUAUUCCAAACUUUGCCACUAACCUUCUGUCCGUUAAUAGUCUUACACGUUCUGCAAAUUGUUCAGUGACAUUUUUUCCUACUCAUUGUGUUUUUCAGGAACUGGACACGGGCAAAGUGAUUGGCAGUGGUAAAGCACAGGAUGGCCUCUAUUUUUUGGAGUCUGCACCUCGUUCACCUAUGUCAUGUGGUCUUGCUCUACAA